CUCUGCCUCCGGGUCCCAGCCUUGCAAUCAGACCUGCCCUUGUUACGCUCUUCUGGUAAACAGCCUCUCUCUAGAGCUGGGAGCUUCCCAGCUAGCUUGCUGCAGCGAGGUGUUUUUCGGCUGAAAGGCGCCCCCUGGGUCCUAAGUCCCUAUAUCCUGCAAGAUGACUAACCCUGAGCCAAGAGAGGAACUCGGCCAAGUGAAGAGAGGCAGGAGGUUCAGGCUGUGCUCAGCAACGGAUCGGUGUGAGACUUGCACUGGCUGCAUCCCCAGGGGUUUUCAUCUCUUCUGUUUCCAUUUGUUUACUUCCUCCACCUACGUCUUGGAUGGGGAUCCAAGGAUUGGAAUCAGCUUCUUCCAAACUCCUGUUAAUGUUGCUAUCUUGACCUCUUCCCAUGAAUCACAAGUGUUUUUAAUGGCAUCUAGAAUGGGGAGGCUGCUGCGAUUCUCAAAGGUUCUGCACAAGGCAGCCAGUCUGGAUGCUGCCGCACAGGGGAGGACAACGGUCGGUCAGCCUCGCAGAGCAGUAGCCAGUCAACAGAGAGGCCACCGCUUCCCCAAGGCUGUCAGCAGGUUUCCUGGUGGUACACGUAUCAACAUCCAAGCAGCCUUCAAUGCAAACCCCAGGUGUGCAGCCCCAGGGAGGGACCCAGCUCCAGGGCACCAAGGACACCCAGCUGCUCAGCAGUCUCCCUCCACCAGUGACCUCACGGUACAUGGACACAGCACAGGCAACCAACAGUUCCAGCCAGGGGCUGAGGGGUGUUGUGCCUGGCCCAAGCCAGUGUCUGUGAGCCGCAUCUUUCCUAACACCAUUAUGAAGUGUAAGGAUGGGGCUUCCCCAGUGUGCAGCUCCUUGCGGGGUUCAGAGAGCCUUCACCUACCUUGUUUCCAGGGAUCCUCCCAACAACCCUAGGAGGUGGGCAAGGUGGGUGUUCUUAACCCCAUUUAAGAGAUGAAGAAACUGAGGAUUAGAGAAGGGAAGGCAGAGCUCAAGGUCACAGAGGAGGGCAAGGUGGAAGAGGCUGAGACUAAGUCCUGGGUCCCAAGACUCCUGGUUCAGUGCUCAGUCCACUAAGUCACACCCAAGACUUGCAGAAGCACUGGAGCAUCGCAGCACACAGGCCUUCCCAGCGUGUCCCCACCUGGCCGAAGCAAGCGCACCACGCAGAGGCAUCCUUACGCCCACCACAGACAGCCGCCCGGACCUCCUUUGGCAGAGACGGCGCAAGCCUCCUUCACUGAUACUGUGCUUGAAAAAACACAAGCCUCAGGGAGCCCUGGCAGAAGUUUGGGGACAGACCUGACUUCAUCCAACACAACGCCGGGGCCACGGAGCCGGGCGCCACCCAGGCUGACGCUGGCCACAAGAAGCACCCGCUGCCUGGAACACCUUGCACUUCCCGCUCAAGGCCACAGCCUGCCUGAGGGUGGGCUCGUUCGCACUACACGCUUUCCACCCCUGUCCAUCUCCAGACUCAGCCUUCUUCCCUGGCUGCAAAUCUCACAUGCCAAUAAAUCAGCCAGCAAAUGCUCUCCAGUAGGACCCCCUUUUCUCCCACGUCUUGGGUCCUAAUGACUGUCCCACCAACCUCAGUAGUUCAGUGGCAUCUGCAAAAUGCAUCCAUCCUGAUGCCUGAGCAGCAGGUGCAAGAGGGGCCCAGGCUUGGGAACAACAUUCAUUCUUCCUGUCCCCACCUGCUGAUCUCCUGGGAACUCUCAUUCCAAGACCCCAAGACAGCUAGCUGGGCGAUAAAGGUGUUCACCGCUGGGUGGGGCAGGAGGGCCGGCUGUGCAGAGUGGAGCCUGAGGCAGGGGGGUCAAGACGCCCCCUGCCUCCCACACAAACUCAGGCCCACCCCCUGGAAGUGCGGACGCGGCAGGGAGAUUACCUCGGUUACAGAUGCUGCAGAAGUUGCUGGGCCCCUCGCUGUGUUUCUUCAGGUGGUCUGCCAUGUAUGCUGCUCGUAGGUACUUCCCACACACCUGGCAGGGCACCUUGUCUUCAUGGCAGGCCAGGUGGGAGCGCAGGCGGUCUCGGGUGGCAAAAGAAGCAUUGCAGGUCUGGGGGCAGAAAGGAACCGGAUGAGGCGACAGCUGGUAUUACACCCCUGCCUCCCCACCAAGCACACCGUGAAACAAAGACCGUUCCUGGCCACACACGGACUCCCUGUAUAAAGACAGCUUCAGAAUAUGGCCCAGGCUUUCUCCCCAAGGUGCCAAGUUAGCCGCUCUUAUUUUCCAUGAUGCCCCCUCAUGAGGACACCCGAGGUGGAACUGUUGGCUCCAAGGCGCUGCCACAACAUGCCCAGGACACGGCACGCUGGGUUCUACACUCCUCCGGAAGGUGAAGAUCGGGCAUUCGCUCAUUCUUGAACAUUAAGAAUUGACUUCAGGUGCAUUGUGGAAGCACGUCCUGAGAUCCCAAGACCUCAAGGUGUCUGAACACUGUCACCACGUACAAAUGUUUGUCUACCUUCCUACUGUACCAUCAAAGCAAGAAACAAACGCUCGUGAUACGGUGGGCGCUGAAGACGCCAUUGCCAUGGCCCUGAUAUCAAGCGUCUGUGCGUCAGGAGAAGCCUUGCCAUUCUGUCAGUAUCUUUUAUGUCAUGUUUCAAAGUUGAACAGAACAAUUUACACUAAUGAAAUACUGCUUUUAUCUUAUUUAUAUAUUGAGUUUAUUAAUUUGAUGAAUGAGGGAGCUAGGUUUAGAAAGUGACUGCCCAAAGCACACGACUCCGCUACUACAGAAAGCAGCAGUCUAAAAUGCUCGGCACCACCAGGCUGGUACCCUCCAGUCCUCCCGGCUACCCUGAGGUAUUCCAUCGUCCCUGAUUCACAGCUGGGCGGACGCAGGCCCCAGGAGGACAGGGACAGCAGGAGUGUCAGCCAGCCCCAAGCCUGUGCUCUUGCCAGCUCAGACUCAGUAGAGAUGGCUUCUGGGGAGUGAAAGGUGCCGACACUUCUUGGCAGUAUACUUGGUAGCCAGACUCCCUUGAUAGGGAGAGGUGACAGGCUCUAUGCAGAAAAACUCAAGGGGCAUCUGGCCUCAUGGCCACAGGUGGGCCCCAGCUUAAGUCAGGGGCCUCGUGACCCAAUCAAUCACAGGCCACAGUGAGGGGAAGAUCUUUGCGUCUUCCACCCAGCCCGCCGGCCUGUCAGCCAGAACAAGGGGAGCUGCAAACCCCUCAGGGCAGAGAGGUGCACCUGUCAUUAUCAGGAGAUAAGAGCCCCGUGACCCAAGGACCACCCCUCCGAUGAGAGGCAGUGUGGUCUGCACCCCCAAACUCAAAGGAACCAAACACGGACCAGGUGUAAGAAAAUGCAGCUUAAAGCACACAUUCAGGAUUCUGUCCUCACAGUCCCUGGGAGAAGUGGAUUAUCCAUUUGAGGGAUUAGCUAAGAAAAAUUAAAAUCCCAGACCAGGCUGACUUCCCCACCCAUCCUCCACUGAGUAUCUCUCAAGGAAUGAAAGCUAACGUUAGCCUGAGCAAAUAUAAUUAGGAAUACAAAUCUGCUGCUGGGAAAGAAAAAUACAAACAGAACAAAAACUUUCGCUGUGUUAGGAAGCCAAGCUGAAGUGAUUGUUGAAUCCUCUGUGCCAGAUUUUCUUGGGUAUUUGUGAAAAUGUAGGAGUCCAAGUCUAGGCCUACCAGAAGUUCUGAUAACACCGCACAGAAAGAGCCAGGUCACACGACCCAGGAGAGGAGGGACACAGAAGAGUGGCUAAGGAAGAGACCUCAGGGAGCACCUGGAACUUCCAUGCUGGGGGCCCCCAGUAGAAAGGCACUUCCAGAAGACAGAGGGGCCCUGGUGGGACAAGAGUGAGCCAGCGGUAGCAUGCUCUGAUCGUGGUGGUGCUCGGAAGGGCUGCCGCCACCCAUGGCCCUGUGCGCAGGCAGCCUGCUGCUGUCAGGAGGCAUGCGUGCUGGGCCUCAGCCCAGCCACCCUGAGCCUGGGCCGCCUCUGGUCAUCACCAUUCAAGUGAGUCCCUCUCUCAGUCAUUUCUCCCCAUCCCAGAGUUCCAAAAGCUGCUCUUCCCAAGAGUUGAGCAGCUCAGGAAGGAGGCCCAAAUGGUACCAGGAACACUAGAGCUCACACGACCUUUGGUGGCCUUUGAAGUCUAGCAGCCUGUUCCACAACUCUGGAAAAGCCUUAGGGCAAUGCAUGGAGGACCAGCUAGAUGGCCUCACUGGCCCCCUUCUGCUUGUGGGUGUCAGCUCCCUCGUUGCCACCUCAAUUCCUGCCUUCUCUAAUGAGCUAAACCUCCAGCCCACACCACCCCAAUGAGCCCCUGAGAAGUGGGGCCACUGGAAGCAAUGGGAGAAGUCUGAGCUGCUCUAGCCGCUCAGCUUCAGGCUGAACUGAAGGAUGUGCAGAGAAUGGCCCAGCCCACUGCACUCAUGUAGUCAGCAGGCCAGGUGCAUCUGGGCCAGGCAAGGACACCCCGGCCAGCCCCAAGGAGACUUGUGUAUCACUGCCAAGCCUGAGGCCAUGUGGCCCGAUGUUCGGAUGGCCUUUUCACUCAAACUGCGGCACCAGUCUCUGCAGCUGGACCCUUUUGUUCUCUGUGGCAUCAGGACGUGCCAAGAAGGAUAGCCCAGGCCCAGCUCUGCCAGAGGCCCAAGGAACCAACUCCCAGAGAGCCGUCUCUUUCCCUCUGAUGCUUUCAGAAUACACACCAUGCAAAACAGAUGCCCCUGCUGUUUAACCAAGCCCAGGCACACCUGGCCAGCUCAGCGCAUGAGAGCCAGCAUGUCUCCACCUGCUGGGUCAUCAUCAGAGGACCUUUGCCUAUGGGGCCAGCAGGUCUGAGAAUGUGUGUUUGGAGGAACAGGGUAGGAACAGGCUCGCACACCGAGGGACAAUGAUGUCAGUGUUAUGACACAGACCAAGGACAAAACACACAAAGCCUCAAAUGUUAGAAUGAAAACUUUUAUCAUCACUCCUGUUUUCCCCGCGGUGCCUGCGGGGCUAACGGGGACACCACUGGGAUCCGAGGAGGGUCUACAUCUGCUUCAUCAGCCCCCAAAGCCAUAUAUUGGGUGACCCAAUAUAAAGCCACUGGUUAGUCUAGUUCCUGAGCAGACCUGCUAAUAAACCUUAAAAACACAAAA